UGGGGAAGUAUUGCACAAUGGGCGGCAAGCCUGAUGCAGCCAUGCCGCGUGUAUGAAGAAGGCCUUCGGGCUUUGGUUAAAGAUACUUUUCAGCGAGGAGGAAGGCGUUGUGGUUAAUAACCGCAGCGAUUGACGUUACUCGCAGAAGAAGCACCGGCUAACUCCGUGCCAGCAGCCGCGGUAAUACGGAGGGUGCAAGCGUUAAUCGGAAUUACUGGGCGUAAAGCGCACGCAGGCGGUCUGUCAAGUCGGAUGUGAAAUCCCCGGGCUCAACCUGGGAACUGCAUCCGAAACUGGCAGGCUAGAGUCUUGUAGA
rnacentral:rRNA from 1 species